rnacentral:siRNA from 1 species
CUGACACGUGUCAACAUUCGAUCG